UCACAACUCUGAUAUAGUGCGUUUGUUACUCAGCUAUGUAACUUUAUAUUUGAAUAUCCAUUAAUUGACUUUGACAUCACCCCAAGCUUUGCCCUCCACUCUUAAUUUAGGAUCCAAUAUUUACCUACUACUUUAGUUCUUACCUAGGUUUUGGUCCUGCUGUAUCCUGACAUAUCUAGGGAAAGCCACAUGCAAAAACGAAUACUGCAGGUAAACACUCCAGCCAUUAUCCAAAGGUCAUAUUUUACAGAUGUGCUCUGUGUGGAACUGGAAAUUGAUCUGCAUUCAUUUUUCAGACACCUCUGCAUAUAUAACAGUGUUGGUACCUAGUAAUUUCCCGAGCAAGAGACAGCUGAUAAUCAAAGUGUUUGGACUGCUCCUGCCUGACAGAACUGUGAGAUAUGGUCUCCACAUCUAGGUACUAAGUAUCUGACCAGAUAGAUUGUUGAGGUAGUUCUACUCAGGGUACUAUGAUGCAGGUCUGGAAUUUACUUCUCUUUGUGAUGUUAACCAUCACCCAACCAUGGGACCACUGGUGUGAGUCUUUCCACCUUUCUAAGGUUCACUCCCUCAUUAGCAUCUCAUCCUAAGGACACCUUCUACCUCCUUGUCCUCUAAGCAAUGCUUUUCAAACCCUACAGACCAGUGCCUGCAUCAGAAUAAUGAGGAAGGGCUUUUGGAAUACUAUGCAGCCAUGUCCCUCUGCAGGGACAUGGAUGAAGCUGGAAACCGUCAUUCUCAGCAAACUAACAUAAGAACAGAAAACCAAACACCACAUGUCCUCACUCAUAAGUGGGAGUUGAACAAUGAGAAUACAUGGACACGGGCAGUGACCUGAGAAGCUACGUAUUGACACGGCGCUACCACGGGUGGAGGAGCCUGCAUUGCUGAAUCACAGGAUGAAGGCGAAUCCCUGCCAGCCUCCAUCCAUCUCUGGGGUGCUUAGCAGAAUCCUCAGCUCACAAGAUGAAUAAAUGCAGACUAAAUGAUGCACAAAUAAUCUUCACACACAACCAUCAACACAUGGAAAGACUGCAGGACGGCCAGAUCCCAAGCUAACAAACAGGGGAAGAUGAUGUUUCAAAUGAUCAUCUGAAUGCUGGGUUUCCACCUUCCACCAGGAAGUCAUAUGGUAAAAAGAAAAAAAAUGGCAUUAUGAUACAAACAGAAAAUGUAACAGUGGAGUGCAGAAAAUACAAAAAAAAGGAAAAAAUAAAUAGAAAAUCUUCAAAGAGGCAAUCUGUUUAAAUCUUCAAGAACUGGAAACAGUAAAAGUGAACAGGUUUUUAUUGAGCAUGUCAAUAAAAUGUUUGCAUAAG
rnacentral:lncRNA from 1 species